rnacentral:rRNA from 1 species
UACGAAGGGUGCAAGCGUUAAUCGGAAUUACUGGGCGUAAAGCGCGCGUAGGUGGUUCAGCAAGUUGGAUGUGAAAGCCCUGGGCUCAACCUGGGAACUGCAUUGGAUACUGUAAGACUUGAAUACGGGAGAGGGCAGUGGAAUUCCUAGUGUAGGAGUGAAAUCCGUAGAUAUUAGGAGGAACACCGGUGGCGAAGGCGACUACCUGGACUGAUACUGACACUGAGGUGCG